ACACACCAUCGGACGCGGCUACAUAAAACAGGGCAGAUUGGCACGAAGUGUCCCAAAAGACCGUGCACAUUUCCCUGUAUUAUGUAUGACAAAUAUCCAUCGUUGGAAUAACCGUUGGCGUUCGUUGGGCGUUUGUUGGCCCGGUGUGUACGCAUAGCUUUAAGCCGCGUCUGAUAAUGUGUCCCGACCUUAAAUCACAGAACAAAUACUCUCUAUAUUUGUCAUGACAUGUGACAUGUUGAUAUAUGAUAAUCUGUGACCUGCCUGUGUCUGUUUUGCAAGAUCCAUUCUUGUUAAUUAAGUUUCGACUUGUUUUAAAUUUUUAGUUUGUUUUGUUAGUAAAAGUUGAAAACCAAGAAACUAAACUUAAAUAUAAUAUAGAACAGAAAUAUUCAUUACCAUGCCAACUUAUAAAAACCGUAAACAUAAACGCUCGGUACCACAAACAGGCAAAGUAGUUGAGGAAUUCGAUGCAAUCUUAGCAAGUGAUGACGAAUUUCCUGACGACUUCAUUGAUGAAGUAGAAGACAUACCCGCCUAUCUGAGAGAUGGCAGGUUCAAUAGUGGUAUCCAAUUUCCUUGGUUAUCCCAAAGAACCACUAGGCAAUUUCAAGAAGACCCAGAAGUAGAAAUACCUUGCAGUGUGGCAUGUGAUGGAACGGAGAAACUUAUACUAAAUAAUGAAACAGGGGCAGAGGAUGCAUUGAUAUUUAAGUGCAUGUUAAAAAAGAUAGAUGUAAUCAGUAUACAACACGUAAUUGAUGCAAAACUGGGAGAUGCAAUGGUUCUUUGGUUUAUAAACUUUUUAAUUAAUAGGGAUUUAAGGUCAGAUUAUAAGUUUAAAAGUUGUUUAGUUGCAGAUUACACCAAAGGUUUAUUUUAAUGUGAUAUAAGUAAAUAAAAAAAUGACAGAAACCAGACAAAAUGUAUCUAGCAGAGCCCUUUAGAUUGGGCAUUUCAUUUGAAUUACUUUUUAAUUUUCUUAUCAUUCAUUUAGUCAUUAGUUCAUAUCAUUGAAUUUGUAUGUUAAGCACCUUGUUUGUUGCUGUGAUAAUUGAUAAUGUUAUGUGAUAAAGGUUUAUCAUUGAUUAAUAAGUACUUGAUUGUAGAUGUUAACUAAGUAAGUGGCAUCAUAAGAAAUAAAGAGGAAGUAAAUAUAAUUAACUGAAGAAAGUAA